AGAGUCUCCGGCGUUUUCACACCCCCUCCAAUUACACAAGUUAAAUCCACACCAGGUGCUUGAAAUUGUUCCAUGAGAGGCAAAAUCCGAGAUUCGUAGGGAUAAAUGCCUUCCUCAAAUCCAAUAUCCUUGAGAAAACGAGGGAUGGCCUUCUGGAGCCAAACCAUAUCGAAAAUCAUAGGGUGCUCCAAACAAGGUCUUGUCUCUAACAUACCCAAUUGCUUCUAAAGAAUCCACCAGCGGGGCCAUAUAUGCUGUGAUCUUCCUGCCAAAAGAACAAAGGCAACUAACCACAAGUAGCUGGAAUCUUUCAAAACACACAUAAUCCACCUUUUCCCACACAAAUGAUUAGAAAGAAACUUACUUGAGAUUGGGAUCGAGGUAGAGAAGAGACUGGACUGAUCCAAACUGAUCGACUCUUGUUUGAACGCCAAUUUCAUUUCUGUAAUCAUCCAAAUCUUUGUCAUAAUGAAGGGUCAUUCGCC